rnacentral:tRNA from 1 species
GGGAAGGUUGCUCAGUGGUAGAGCGCUUGCUUUGCAUGCAUGGGGCCCUGGGUUCGAUUCCCCAGCACCA